AUGGAUAUACUUUAGGAUCUUGUUUAAAAGUAGAUUCUGACUCAGUAAGUUAGGAUAGACCCGGGAUUGUAUAUUUCUGACAAGUUCGUGAGUGAUUUAAAA
rnacentral:pre_miRNA from 1 species